rnacentral:rRNA from 2 species
UGGGGGAUAUUGGACAAUGGGGGCAACCCUGAUCCAGCGAUGCCGCGUGAGGGAAGAAGGUUUUCGGAUUGUAAACCUCUGUUGACAGGGACGAUAAUGACGGUACCUGUUUAGAAAGCCACGGCUAACUACGUGCCAGCAGCCGCGGUAAUACGUAGGUGGCGAGCGUUGUCCGGAAUUACUGGGUGUAAAGGGAGUGUAGGCGGGACUGCAAGUCAGAAGUGAAAACUAUGGGCUUAACCCAUAGCCUGCUUUUGAAACUGUAGUUCUUGAGUGAAGUAGAGGCAAGCGGAAUUCCUAGUGUAGCGGUGAAAUGCGUAGAUAUUAGGAGGAACACCAGUGGCGAAGGCGGCUUGCUGGGCUUUUACUGACGCUGAGGCUCGAAAGCGUGGGGAGCAAACAGG